AUGAAGGAGAUUUACACAAGCAAUCACAUGUGGAAAUUGUUUGAGAAUUCCUCGUGGACAUCUGCAGGGCCUGUAACAACACGAGUGACAGGAAGCACGCAGACUCGAUUCUGGAGAAGUACGUCACUGAAAUCGUGAUGAGCAUUGUCACAACCUUCUUCAGCUCUCCUUCUCAGACCAGAGUACCACUCUGCAGACGCGCCAGCCUGUCUUUGUGCAACUCCUGCAAGGUGUCUUCAGGGUUUACCACUGCAACUGGUUAAUGCCGAGCCAGAAGGCCUCCGUGG